CCUACGGGAGGCAGCAGUGGGGAAUAUUGCGCAAUGGGCGAAAGCCUGACGCAGCGACGCCGCGUGAGGGAUGAAGGUCUUCGGAUCGUAAACCUCUGUCAGCAGGGAAGAACGGUCACUGUGCUAAUCAGCAGUGAAUUGACGGUACCUGCAAAGGAAGCACCGGCUAACUCCGUGCCAGCAGCCGCGGUAAUACGGAGGGUGCGAGCGUUAAUCGGAAUUACUGGGCGUAAAGCGCUCGUAGGCGGUAUGUCAAGUCAAGGGUGAAAUCCCCGCGCUCAACGUGGGAACUGCCUUUGAAACGGGCAAACUGGAGUGUGUGAGAGGAUAGUGGAAUUCCAGGUGUAGGAGUGAAAGCCGUAGAUAUCUGGAGGAACAUCAGUGGCGAAGGCGACUAUCUGGCACAUAACUGACGCUGAGGAGCGAAAGCGUGGGUAGCAAACAGGAUUAGAUACCCUAGUAGUC
rnacentral:rRNA from 1 species